rnacentral:rRNA from 1 species
UACGUAGGGGGCAAGCGUUGUCCGGAUUUAUUGGGCGUAAAGAGCGUGUAGGCGGUCAGGUAGGUCCGUUGUGAAAACUCGAGGCUCAACCUCGAGACGCCGAUGGAAACCAUCUGACUAGAGUCCGGAAGAGGAGAGUGGAAUUCCUGGUGUAGCGGUGAAAUGCGCAGAUAUCAGGAAAAACACCCGUGGCUAAGGCGGCUCUCUAGUACGGUACUGACGCUGAGACGCGAAAGCGUGGGGAGCGAACAGG